UCGUGCUAGACGGGGAACUAGCGGUGCCCUGUACCCGCAAUCCGCUAUAGCGGGGUCGAAUUCCCCCUCGAGGGUCUGUGCUUUCUGGGUCUACCGGGACUAAGUGGCAUUGAAGAUUGGGUCCUGCGCGGCAGGAGCCUGUGAACCCCGCCAGGUCCGGAAGGAAGCAGCGGUAAGUAGUCACUCCUGGGUGCCGCAGGGAUGCCUGGUUGGAGCUGGCUGGCCCCGGCAAGCCGGGGAGCCCGAUUCGACGGGGGGUGCACGG
rnacentral:SRP_RNA from 1 species